UACAAUGGAGAGUUUGAUCCUGGCUCAGGAUGAACGCUAGCGGCAGGCCUAACACAUGCAAGUCGAGGGGCAUCGGGAUUGAAGCUUGCUUCAAUUGCCGGCGACCGGCGCACGGGUGCGUAACGCGUAUGUAACCUACCUAUAACAGGGGCAUAACACUGAGAAAUUGGUACUAAUUCCCCAUAAUAUUCGGAGAGGCAUCUCUCCGGGUUGAAAACUCCGGUGGUUAUAGAUGGACAUGCGUUGUAUUAGCUAGUUGGUGAGGUAACGGCUCACCAAGGCAACGAUACAUAGGGGGACUGAGAGGUUAACCCCCCACACUGGUACUGAGACACGGACCAGACUCCUACGGGAGGCAGCAGUGAGGAAUAUUGGUCAAUGGACGCAAGUCUGAACCAGCCAUGCCGCGUGCAGGAAGACGGCUCUAUGAGUUGUAAACUGCUUUUGUACGAGGGUAAACUC
rnacentral:rRNA from 1 species